rnacentral:rRNA from 1 species
CUACCCUGAAUAAUCCCGAUCCCCUCUGAUCUCUGAAGCUAAGUAGGGUUGGGCUUGGUUAGCACUUGGAUGGAAGACCAGGU